AGUCCAACCCGGACUUGGCGAGGGGACGAGGGAAGCCGGUUCGCCGGGGACCUUCGUCCCCUCGCUCAAUUCCGGGUCUGAUG
rnacentral:pre_miRNA from 1 species